rnacentral:piRNA from 1 species
UACAGCCUCAUCUGUUAUCCACGGUAUGGGU